rnacentral:rRNA from 1 species
UACAGAGGUCUCAAGCGUUGUUCGGAUUCAUUGGGCGUAAAGGGUGCGUAGGUGGCGGGGCAAGUCUGGUGUGAAAUCCCGGGGCUCAACCCCGGAACUGCACUGGAUACUGCCUUGCUUGAGCACUGGAGAGGGAACUGGAAUUUACGGUGUAGCAGUGAAAUGCGUAGAUAUCGUAAGGAAGACCAGUGGCGAAGGCGAGUUCCUGGACAGUUGCUGACACUGAGGCACGAAGGCUAGGGGAGCAAACGGG